rnacentral:lncRNA from 1 species
UCCAGGCCUUCAGCCUUCUUCUUUUAUGGCUUCAGUGGAUGGAGACCCACUGGCAUCAUGGGGAUGAGCUGCUAACCAAAGUCUACUGAUUUAAAUAUUAAUCUUUUCUAAAAACCUCCUGCAGAGCCACUGGGAGACCGGUGUUUGAUCAAACACCUGGACUCAUGGCCUCGCUACGUCUGUCGGCUCCUAAGGUUAACCAGCCCUGCCUGUGAGGCACGGCCGAGUGCCCUGCCCAUCCUCCACCAGCACCGUGGGCUCCACUCUGUUGCUCUGCUGUUUCCCAACCAGACCUCCUGCCCAGCCGGAACCUGGCCCCUUCUGCCGGCUGAGGCUCACAGGUGCCUCUGUAAGCCACACAGGAAGAGCAACAGGGAUGCUGGAGGUCACAGGCCGCUGUGGCCUCUCCAGAGAACUGUCCAGGGUGGGGCCAGCGCCCAGCACCGACCCCCAGUGCCUGAGAGAGCCAGGAGCGGCUCCUUUAAGAAGACACCAGUGUGCCAGGACACAGCCACUCCCACGAGAGGCUCAGAUCAAUCCUCCUGCUUUUAUCUUUUCUUGAGACUCAGCGUGAUGAAGAGUGGCCUCU